UACAAGUCCCUUGGAACAGGGCGUCAUAGAGGGUGAGAAUCCCGUCCUUGACAUGGACCCCCGGUGCUUUGUGAUACAUUUUCAACGAGUCGAGUUGUUUGGGAAUGCAGCUCAAAGCGGGUGGUAAAUCUCAUCUAAGGCUAAAUACCGGCCAGAGACCGAUAGCGCACAAGUAGAGUGAUCGAAAGAUGAAAAGCACUUUGGAAAGAGAGUUAAAAAGCACGUGAAAUUGUUGAAAGGGAAGCGCUUGCAAUCAGACUU
rnacentral:rRNA from 1 species